UGUUAAAAGUUACAUUCAUUUUUAUUGUUAAAAGCUAGUCUAGCAAACGGAAUAACCAGACAGUUAUAGGUAAUGUGCCGCGUGUACUUCAUGUUAACAUACAGAGAUCAGUUUUUAACAAUAAAAAUGAAUGUAAAUUUUAAUA
rfam:Gossypium arboreum cultivar AKA8401 contig_10406_5, whole genome shotgun sequence.